AUUGAACGCUGGCGGCAUGCUUUACACAUGCAAGUCGAACGGUAACAGGCCGCAAGGUGCUGACGAGUGGCGAACGGGUGAGUAAUGCAUCGGAACGUGCCCAGUCGUGGGGGAUAACGCAGCGAAAGCUGCGCUAAUACCGCAUACGAUCUAUGGAUGAAAGCGGGGGACCGUAAGGCCUCGCCCGAUUGGAGCGGCCGAUGUCAGAUUAGGUAGUUGGUGGGGUAAAGGCUCACCAAGCCAACGAUCUGUAGCUGGUCUGAGAGGACGACCAGCCACACUGGGACUGAGACACGGCCCAGACUCCUACAGGAGGCAGCAGUGGGGAAUUUUGGACAAUGGGCGCAAGCCUGAUCCAGCAAUGCCGCGUGCAGGAAGAAGGCCUUCGGGUUGUAAACUGCUCUUGUACGGAACGAAAAGGCUCUGGUUAAUACCUGGGGCUCAUGACGGUACCGUAAGAAUAAGCACCGGCUAACUACGUGCCAGCAGCCGCCGUAAGAC
rnacentral:rRNA from 1 species